UGCAAGUCGAGCGAAUCUGAGGGAGCUUGCUCCCGAAGAUUAGCGGCGGACGGGUGAGUAACACGUGGGCAACCUGCCUGUAAGACUGGGAUAACUUCGGGAAACCGGAGCUAAUACCGGAUAAUCCUUUCCCUCACAUGAGGGAAAGCUGAAAGACGGCUUCUAGCUGUCACUUACAGAUGGGCCCGCGGCGCAUUAGCUAGUUGGUGAGGUAACGGCUCACCAAGGCCACGAUGCGUAGCCGACCUGAGAGGGUGAUCGGCCACACUGGGACUGAGACACGGCCCAGACUCCUACGGGAGGCAGCAGUAGGGAAUCUUCCGCAAUGGACGAAAGUCUGACGGAGCAACGCCGCGUGAGUGAUGAAGGUUUUCGGAUCGUAAAACUCUGUUGUUAGGGAAGAACAAGUAUCGGAGUAACUGCCGGUGCCUUGACGGUACCUAACCAGAAAGCCACGGCUAACUACGUGCCAGCAGCCGCGGUAAUACGUAGGUGGCAAGCGUUGUCCGGAAUUAUUGGGCGUAAAGCGCGCGCAGGUGGUUCCUUAAGUCUGAUGUGAAAGCCCACGGCUCAACCGUGGAGGGUCAUUGGAAACUGGGGAACUUGAGUGCAGAAGAGGAAAGUGGAAUUCCAAGUGUAGCGGUGAAAUGCGUAGAGAUUUGGAGGAACACCAGUGGCGAAGGCGACUUUCUGGUCUGUAACUGACACUGAGGCGCGAAAGCGUGGGGAGCGAACAGGAUUAGAUACCCUGGUAGUCCACGCCGUAAACGAUGAGUGCUAAGUGUUAGAGGGUUUCCGCCCUUUAGUGCUGCAGCAAACGCAUUAAGCACUCCGCCUGGGGAGUACGACCGCAAGGUUGAAACUCAAAGGAAUUGACGGGGGCCCGCACAAGCGGUGGAGCAUGUGGUUUAAUUCGGAGCAACGCGAAGAACCUUACCAGGUCUUGACAUCCUCUGACAUCCUAGAGAUAGGACUUUCCCUUCGGGGGACAGAGUGACAGUGUGCAUGUUGUCGUCAGCUCGUGUCGUGAG
rnacentral:rRNA from 1 species